rnacentral:rRNA from 1 species
UACGGAGGGUGCGAGCGUUGUCCGGAAUCACUGGGCGUAAAGGGCGCGUAGGUGGCGCGGGCAGUCAACGGUGAAAGUUCGGGGCUCAACCCUGAAUCGGCCGUCGAUACUCCCGUGCUUGAGCACUGUAGAGGCAGAUGGAAUUCCGGGUGUAGCGGUGGAAUGCGUAGAUAUGCGGAGGAACACCGAUGGCGAAGGCAAUCCCCUGGACCUGUACUGACGCUCAUGCA